CACUCUAGAGAGACUGCCAGGGAUAACCUGGAGGAAGGUGGGGAUGACGUCAAAUCAUCAUGCCCCUUAUGCUUAGGGCUACACACGUGCUACAAUGGGUAGUACAGAGGGUUGCCAAGCCGUAAGGUGGAGCUAAUCCCUUAAAGCUACUCUCAGUUCGGAUUGUAGGCUGAAACUCGCCUACAUGAAGCUGGAGUUACUAGUAAUCGCAGCUCAGAAUGCUGCGGUGAAUGCGUUCCCGGCUCUUGUACACCCCGCCCGUCACCCCACGGGCGUUGGAGACGCCCGAAGCCGCUUAUCUAACCUCUUGGUAGAAGUCGUCGCAUGUGCAUUCAAUAACUGGGGUGAAGUCGUACCAAGGUAGCCGUCUCGGAAGGUGCGGCUGGAUCACCUCCUUUCUAAGGAGA
rnacentral:rRNA from 1 species